rnacentral:rRNA from 1 species
CAAGGUCUCCGUAGGUGAACCUGCGGAGGGAUCAUUACAAAUUCAGUGGGGCGUCGGUUUCGGCCGGCGCGUCGCGUCAACCUCUGUGAACCAUCUCUGUUGCCUCGGGGGCGACCCUGCCGUUUCGGCGGUAGGGGCUCCCGGUGGCCAUCUCAAACACUGCGUUUAUUUGCGUCGGAGUUCAAACAAAUCAAUCAAAACUUUCAACAACGGAUCUCUUGGUUCUGGCAUCGAUGAAGAACGCAGCGAAAUGCGAUAAGUAAUGUGAAUUGCAGAAUUCAGUGAAUCAUCGAAUCUUUGAACGCACAUUGCGCCCUUUGGUAUUCCGAAGGGCAUGCCUGUUCGAGCGUCAUUUCACCACUCAAGCCUGGCUUGGUAUUGGGCGUCGCGGGUCACCGCGCGCUUUAAAGUCUUUCCGGCUGAGCGAUCUAUCUCUAAGCGUUGUGGCAAUCUAUUCGCGGUGAGAUCAGAGCGCGCCGGCCGUUAAAUCUUUCUCAAGGUUGACCUCGGAUCAGGUAGGGAUACCCGCUGAACUUAAGCA